UAUUGAGUGCCGGAAGUGAUGAGAACACGGUCUAGAAACAAGGUUGUUGUCGGAGCCGGAAGGUUAGAUGUGUGCCAUACUGGCGGGACUUGUGUUGCAGCACGCGGUCACCUGUCGCCAGUCGCCUCCAAGUCUGUGUGAGCUUCGAGAAAACGUGGCUCCAGCCGACCGGAUGCUCUUGAAGUUGCAAAGACAGCUUGGGGGCCACAGAUCAAGCCCCGCCCGCGUUUCGGCUCUUUCCAGGAGGUGUUCUUGAACAGCGCUUCGCUCUGAACACCGAGAGCCACCUUAGCAACAGGGAUGUGGUGAGCUCCAGACGCUACCCGUCGGUUUUCCUUAGACCCCCGUGCUUCGACCGCCUCCCUCCCCAGCUCAAGAAACUUCACCUCGAGGGUUCAUAGAACCAAGGAAAGAUGACGAACCUCAGGCUGCAAAGUCCCAAAGUCAUAUGCCUUACUAUUUACAGAACGAGGAAAAGUAUAAUAAUGAUUUGUGUAGUAGAUUUGGUUUGCAAAGGAGCUAAAAAUCCAAAGCACGGGAUAUAAUCCCAGCGCUACAGUGGCUGAGGCAGUAGGAUCCGGAGAAAGAGUGCUAGAGAGAUGGCUCAUUGGUUAGGAGCAUUUUCUGCUCUUCCAGAGGACCCAGGCUCAGUUCCCAGGACCCACAUGGUGGUUCACAACAGUCUAUAACUUCAGAUCUAACACCUACUUCAGCCUCCUUGGGCACCAGCAAUGAAGAAAUCUCAGGCACCUGGUAGCUCCCCCUGUGGUGUUCUGCAUUCUUUUGAAACGAAGUGAAAGUGAGAAGCUUGGAGGAGGCCAAGUGGGAAACUGCUGCUGUUACCCCGUGAGAAAAGGCAAGGAGAAUAAACUGAAGAAUGAAGUUGGAGAAGGUUCAUGUUAAACAGCUCCAACAUAACUGUUCCCCGGAACCAAUAAAUAAAUAACAAUAAUUGUUCAUUAAGCUAAGUCAA